UUUCUAAUUUUAUUUUAACUUAUAGGAAAUUAACUUACAAAAAAGAAGUAUGAAUGCGGACAAAGAAUUAUUAAAUUUAAAGUACUUUCAACAGAUAUCUAAAAAGGCUAUUACAUGAGAUUGAAGCAAAACAACAACAACAAUAAUAAUAGCAUAUAUACUCCAUAGUAUAUAUUUUGAAAAUGAGGGAGAAAGGAACAUGUAAUGAUGCGAACCCGUGAGCAACGAACACUCACGAACCCACAACAAGAUUGCCACAGUUCCCAAGAACGCCAAUGGAUCGAUGGUUUUGGAUUUAAUCCUCAAACAAUGAACUAGGCAACUGUAGAUAUAUUAAAUCUACGACCUCUUAAUCACAAGGCUUGCGAAUCUCACCCGAAAUUUGUGGAUCUGACUCAAUAAUCAUGAACCAAACAACCGCCACAAUCACUUGGAUAUGCCCACCUUUUGAUUACAAACAAUUAAUUGAAAUCACACCCGGGUUUUGUUUGAAUGCCACAAGAUUUGUUAAAUCUUGAUAAGUUCGGUAAAUUGAAGCAUCACGCCUCGAGAGAGAAAAUUCUCCAUCAAUCAAUUCAUCAUAAAAACUUUGUUCAAUGCAAUGAAAAUUCCUAUUUAUACUAAAACCCUAAACAUAAUUAAAAAGAAAUUAAACUAUUAAAACCUAUUUAAAAAAAGGUAAAAUAAUCAGUAAAAUAAUGAAAGAGACGUGAAAAAAUUAACUUCCUAAUAUAAAAACGAAUCCUGCCGAAAUUCUUCGAUUUUUCUUAAGCCGAACAAGUUGCGUGAAGACAGGGAAUUCUGCCCCCUUUUGCCUUAUGCGAAUUUAGUCCAAUUUCCAGCCUUUAAUCAUCUAACUUCAGCCGCCCAUAUGUUUAUAUAUUUUAUAAAUUCAGCCAUCAUUUUGCAUGCAUAAAAGUGUGGAUAAUUAAAUUCUGCAUUGCUCCAGCUUGCUUAGUUCUUCAUUCCCAACACAUAAUUCUAUUCAAUUGACUUGUGAACGUCAACCUUAUGAAACCCAUAGCUCAAUUAUCAUAUUGGUUGGCUUUAUUAAUUUUGUUGAAGUCCCGGACUUGGCUCGAACUAAACUUGAAUUCCAUAGCUCUAACAUAUAAAUAGCCGGCUUUGACGACUUCAAUUAAUCUCAAAUGGGUCCUUAAAUUUUUGCCAACAAACAUCAAAUAUUUGGUAGCUCUUGGCGUAGCCCGGAUCACAUCAUCCCCUCUCUCUUCAAAAGGAUUCGACCUCGAAUCCAAGUCUUCAAUGUCCAAAUUAUAGCCUUUAUUUUCGAUCAUGGUAAGCACAUGAAAUGGUCCAUCGCCUCUAGGAUGAAACUUAGACUGCUUUUGAAUCCUUAUCCGCCUUUUGCAUAAAUAAAUCCAAUCACCCUCGCAAUGAUCAAAAUGACCGCGCCGUGAUUGCUUAUUUCGCCCCGUUUGAGAUGCUCCAAUAAGAACUUCACUUGAUAGAUCACCUUGCACCCUCGAUGUCCUCCUUCGCCUAGGUAGUAGCAACAAUAACACUCCGAAUGGAUGCAUUUUCCCCGGCAUAUCACUUUUGUAUUUCAGCUCCUUGCCGUUCAAUCCAACACAUAAAAAUUUAUUCCACGACAACUUCUUUACCUCUUCAGGGAUAAUAAAUUCAACUUCCGGUAUUAUGGCGAUUUCCAAACCAAGGUGCGGUUGUUGAUUGAUUUCUUCCACAAUUUGAUAUCCAAUUCCUAGGUCAGGUGGUAUUCCAACAAAAUUAAAUUUUGGAAUUAAGUCUUCGUUGACCUGCAAAAGAGAAAUAUCAAAAGUAGGGAGGGAAAUAUUAGUUUUCUCCAAUGCUUCCUCAACUCCAUGCUUAUUUUCAUCCAAGCUCACUUCCAUCACUUCCUUCACCUCCGAAGACCCUACUUCAUUUUCCACUUCCAAUUUAACCACUUCUUCAUCCUCAUUUUUACUCUCAAUCUCCUUUUUAUUUUCUCGUGGCUUCUCCCUAAAUUCUCGCUCACGCCGAUUACUCCUAUAAUAAUUUGGCACAUAUCGUCUCCUCAUAAUAUGCCUCAACUCAUUCCAAGUUUCAAUACACCUCUCUCCAUUCCUCCGCCUAGAUUUUGUCAACUGAUCGUACCAAGUAGUUGCAUAACCCACAAAAGUGUACAUAACUAACUUUAAUUUUCUCUCCCCGGAGUAGUCAUGGCAAUCAAACACUAAUUCUACCCGUUCUUCCCAAGUCAAGUAUGCCUCGGGAUCGUCUGUACCCUUAAAUCACAGAAGUGAUAAUUUGCCAUUUUCCACAUUCCUGCCAACACCGUAUCCAACACAAUUUAUAUCCUGUUCGCCAAGCCUAUCACCUCUAUUUUUCAUUCCCCGCAAAUCAACAUCAACCAAUGCAUCCCCUCUACUACAAUUGUCAUAUGCAUCACAAAUUUUUGUCAUAGGUUCCUGUCUCCUCACAUCGAACCUCUCAUCACAUUCAUCCCAAUGAAUAUUUUUCAACUUCAUAUCCAGUCUGUCUAAUUUAUUUCCCAACCUAUUCUCCAUGACCAUCAACAUUUUCUCCAAUCGCCGCAUCACCGUUUCGGACAUAAUUCAAUUGGGUUGUGGGUGAAACUUGUGAAUUUUCAAAGACUCAAGAAUUGGAUAGAAAUUUUGGAAUGAAUUAUGAAAAUUCAAGAUGUGGUCUUGAAUUUCUGACCGACUGGACUAGACAAUUUGAAACUUUAAUAUGAAUUCAAGAAAGUGGUUUUUGAAUUGGAAUUCGACACAAUAAUAACUUUUUUGUUUUUUUUUACUCAAUUUUUUUUGGAACAGUAACCUGGAUGAACAGAAUUUUUUUUAAAUGACGUGAACAGUAACUCGGAAUAGUGAUUCUGCCUUUUCUAACAUCCUAACACUAAAAAUUUUAUUUUACUGCCUCACCAAAAGUCACUCAGAAACACACAAGGGCUUUUACCCUCUAUUAAGCUCACCUCUCUACCUUUUACCACUCAAUUCUUUCAACAAUUGCUUCUAGGAAUAAUCAAUGAACUCAAUCAAUCAAUCAAAUCGUGUAGAAUGCCCCAAACCGAAUGUGACUCAAUAAUUGUAACAAAGGACUCAAAGAAAACUUUUAAAACUUGACUUGAAUUGAAGGAAUGGAAUGAUUCAAUGUGUCCAAGUAAUUUAGAAAUGAUAUUGAAUAAUAAAAGUUGAUAUUUGACGGAUCACUAAUAUUUAACAAAUUUUUUUUACUGUACGGAUGAAUAGUACCAUACGGAUGAACAAUAAUAUUUUUUUUUUCAGAUCCGAAAAUCAAUAACAAAACCAAUGAAGAAAAUGAAAACUGAUUUGGGCGAAAAUUGAGCCCAGAAACGAAAUUUGAAGAUUUUUGAUGAAAUUUUUUGGAUCAAAGGAUCAAGAAAACCUUCUGGACACAAGAACACAAGGAAUUGAAAAAAAAUUAGAAAGAGCAACGAACACUCACGAACCCACAACGAGAUUGCCACAGUUCCCAAGAACGCCAAUGGAUCGAUGGUUUUGGAUUUAAUCCUCAAAUAAUGAACUAGGCAACCGUAGAUAUAUUACCCGGGUUUUGUUUGAAUGCCACAAGAUUUGUUAAAUCUUAAUAAGUUCGGUAAAUUGAAGGAUCACGCCUCGAGAGAGAAAAAUCUCCAUUAAUCAAUUCAUCAUAAAAACUUUGUUCAAUACAAUGAAAAUUCCUAUUUAUACUAAAACCCUAAACAUAAUUAAAAAGAAAUUAAACUAUUAAAACCUAUUUAAAAAAAGGUAAAAUAAUCAGCAAAAUAAUGAAAGAGACGUGAAAAAAUUAACUUCCUAAUAUAAAAAUGAAUCCUACCGAAAUUCUUCGAUUUUCCUUAAGCCGAACAAGUUGCGUGAAGACAGGGAUUCUGCCCCCUUUUGCCUUAUGCGAAUUUAUUCCAAUUUCCAGCUUCUUAAUCAUCUAACUUCAGCCGCCCAUAUGUUUAUAUAUUUUAUAAAUUCAGCCAUCAUUUUGCACGCAUAAAAGUGUGGAUAAUUAAAUUCUACAUUGCUCCAGCUUGCUUCCUUAAAUUUCCUCCAGCUUGCUUAGUUCUUCAUUCCCAACACAUAAUUCUAUUCAACUGACUUGUGAACGUCAACCUUAUGAAACCCAUAGCUCAAUUAUCAUAUUGGUUAGCUUUAUUAAUUUUGUUGAAGUCCCGGACUCGGCUUGAACUAAACUUGAAUUCCAUGGCUCUAACAUAUAAACAGCCGGCUUUGACGACUUCAAUUAAUCUCAAAUGGGUCCUUAAAUUUUUGCCAACAAACAUCAAAUAUUUGGUAGCUCUUGGUGUAGCCCGGAUCACAUCAUGUAAGGCUAUAACAAUGACAGUGAGACUAGAUCAAUCUGCUAAAUUGAAUCAUCUAACUAGAGAUAAUUUAUUUCUUCUUGAUUUGAAAAAAAAUUUAUGGUGGGUGGCGAUUAGACAUGAAAUCUGAAUAGACAAAAAGACAUUUUGUUUAGUUAGGAAAAGAAAAUGAGUGUUUGGAAGAUGAAAUGAUCAAAUUAGUUAUAAAAAGAGAAAGUAAUGCCUGUCAUAUAUUUAUGUGAUAAAUAAAUGUAAGUGAUAAGUUUUAUACCUUUAUAUGUUUUUUUAAAAUUUUUCGUAUUUUCAAUUUUUAUUAGUUUUUUAUGUUUACAUACGUUAAUAAAGAAUUUUAUAAAUAUAAUUUUCAUUUUUCUUCAACUAACCAUUUAAUUUUAUAUAAUUGGGGGCCCUUAUCGAAAUGGGGCCUUGGGCAAUCGCCUACCUUGCCGAUAGUCAAGGUCGCCAUUGGUAGCUAUUAGUUUAUUUUGCUCGUGGUCCAUUCAUUUGUUGGACGGCCCUUUUGGGUGUUAAGCCCACUUUACCUUUCUUAUCUUGAUUAGCCAAUUUGUUUUGGUUUUUGGUCCACCUCUUGUUCUUAAGUCUUGUCCCAUGAGUUUAAAAAAAGAAAAGAAAAGAGAACUAUAUAUAUGUUAGCCCCUUUGUGGAGUAAACCGCGUGUUGCAAUUGUGCUGUGAGAAUAGAGAGGAUGCCAUUCUCGGUAAGUGUUGAACUAUUCCUUCCUUCCUUCUCUCUUCCUUUGUGGGCAAUGUUUACAAGGGGCCUGAUGCGAACCCCGUAGCAAUGGAAACUAAGAAACCCACAACGAGAUUGAUGCGGAACUCAAGAACGUCAAUACUAACCUGAUUUUGGAUCUUGAACCCUAAGAAUUGAACCAAGAAACCCUAGAUUAGCGAAAAACCUAAAAUCCCUUGAUUAUAAUUAAAAGAACCCACAAUUCGAUUGUUUACAACGCCACAAGAAAUUGAAUCUUGAUAAGUUCCAAGAUUGUUCAAGAAGAACAAGAAAUUGAAAGAACAAAUUCUCUCUCUAUAACAUUAUUCAAGUAAAAGUCAAAAGUCCUUACAAUGAAAAAUAUUCUCUUAUUUAUACUAAUCCUNCUAGGUAGUAGCAACAAUAACACUCCGAAUGGAUGCAUUUUCCCAGGCAUAUCACUUUUGUAUUUCAGCUCCUUGCCGUUCAAUCCAACACAUAAAAAUUUAUUCCACGACAACUUCUUUACCUCUUCAGGGAUAAUAAAUUCAACUUCCGGUAUUAUGGCGAUUUCCAAACCAAGGUGCGGUUGUUGAUUGAUUUCUUCCACAAUUUGAUAUCCAAUUCCUGGGUCAGGUGGUAUUCCAACAAAAUUAAAUUUUGGAAUUAAGUCUUCGUUGACUUGCAAAAGAGAAAUAUCAAAAGUAGGGAGGGAAAUUUAGUUUUCUCCGAUGCUUCCUCAACUCCAUGCUUAUUUUCAUCCAAGCUCACUUCCUUCACCUCCGAAGACCCUACUUCAUUUUCCACUUCCAAUUUAACCACUUCUUCAUCCUCAUUUUUACUCUCAAUCUCCUUUUUAUUUUCUCGAGGCUUCUCCCUAAAUUCUCGCUCACGCCGAUUACUCCUAUAAUAAUUUGGAGCAUAUCGUCUCCUCAUAAUAUGCCUCAACUCAUUCCAAAUUUCAAUACGCCUCUCUCCAUUCCUCCGCCUAGAUUUUGUCGACUGAUCGUACCAAGUAGUUGCAUAACCCACAAAAGUGUACAUAACUAACUUUACUUUUCUCUCCCCGGAGUAGUCAUGGCAAUCAAACACUAAUUCUACCCGUUCUUCCCAAGUCAAGUAUGCCUCGGGAUCGUCCCUACCCUUAAAUCACGGAAGUGAUAAUUUGCCAUUUUCCACAUUCCUACCAACACCGUAUCCAACACAAUUUAUAUCCCGUUCACCAAGCCUAUCACAUCUAUUUUUCAUUCCCCGCAAAUCGACAUCAACCAAUGCAUCCCCUCUACUACAAUUGUCAUAUGCAUCACAAAUUUUUGUCAUAGGUUCCCGUCUCCUCACAUCGAACCUCUCAUCACAUUCAUCCCAAUGAAUAUUUUUCAACUUCAUAUCCAGUCUGUCUAAUUUAUUUCCCAACCUAUUCUCCAUAUCCAUCAACAUUUUCUCCAAUCGCCGCAUCACCGUUUCAGACAUAAUUCAAUUGGGUUGUGGGUGAAACUCGUGAAUUUUCAAAGACUCAAGAAUUGGAUAGAAAAUUUGGAAUGAAUUAUGAAAAUUCAAGAAGUGGUCUUGAAUUUCUGACCGACUGGACUAGACAAUUUGAAACUUUAAUAUGAAUUCAAGAAAGUGGUUCUUGAAUUGGAAUUCGACACAAUAAUAACUUUUUUGUUUUUUUGUAACUCAAUUUUUUUUGGAACAGUAACUCGGAUAAACAGAAUUUUUUUUAAAUGACGUGAACAGUAACUCGGAACAGUGAUUCUGCCUUUUCUAACAUCCUAACACUAAAAAUUUUAUUUUACUGCCUCACCAAAAAUCACUCAGAAACACACAAGGGCUUUUACCCUCUAUUAAGCUCACCUCUCUGCCUUUUACCACUCAAUUCUUUCAACAAUUGCUUCUAGGAACAAUCAAUGAGCUCAAUCAAUCAAUCAAAUCAUGUAGAAUUCCCCAAACCGGAUGUGACUCAAUAAUUGUAACAAAGGACUCAAAGAAAACUUUUAAAACUUGACUUGAAUUGAAGGAAUGGAAUGAUUCAAUGUGUCCAAGUAAUUUAGAAAUGAUAUUGAAUAAUAAAAGUUGGUAUUUGACGGAUCACUAAUAUUUAACAAUUUUUUUUACUGUACGGAUGAAUAGUACCGUAUGGAUGAACAAUAAUAUUUUUUUUUCAGAUCCGAAAAUCAAUAACAAAACCAACGAAGAAAACAAAAACUGAUUUGGGCGAAAAUUGAGCCCAGAAACGGAAUUUGAAGAUUUUUGAUGAAACUUUUUGGAUCAAAGGAUUAAGAAAACCUUCUGGACACAAGAACACAAGGAAUUGAAAAAAAAUUAGAAAGAGCAACGAACACUCACGAACCCACAACGAGAUUGCCACAGUUCCCAAGAAUGCCAAUGGAUCGAUGGUUUUGGAUUUAAUCCUCAAACAAUGAACUAGGCAACUGUAGAUAUAUUACCCAGGUUUUGUUUGAACGCCACAAGAUUUGUUAAAUCUUGAUAAGUUCGGUAAAUUGAAG
rnacentral:lncRNA from 1 species